UGCAAUCACUACCAAAUAUGAGUCCACCAUUCUAAUUAACAGAGCUUCUAAGGACCCUUCUUCCCCACAACACUGUCCUUUCCACGGAAGGAAACCAAAAACUCAGAGAGACAGAGCAAGAAGAGUUGGAUUGUUUCUUUGAUGCCACAUCAACACAAGUAGUAAUAGUCUUUCUAUUCUCAAAAGAGUUAGAUUCUAGUUCUUGGAAACAAACAGAGAGAGGGAAAGAAAAUGCAGCAAUAUGGUCACACCGGGCAUUGGGCAUUUUCUUUCCAUUUUCCCUCAUUUCCUAGAACUAUAGAGCAAGAGUCAAGUUUUCAUUUUUCAAGCUUUUCUAUGUGUGCAUGUUCAAUGGUGCACUUUCUGCUGCAGAAUUCUCAUACUUUGCAUGUUAGUAAGUAUAACGAGGUAAAUGCAAAAAGGGUUAUGGUUCAAAAGAGUAAAAUGCACACCAAAACCAAAACAUAUUUUCAUUCCCAUCACAUGAAGUUCUAUUACAUUAGAAAUCAGAAAAGGGAAAAAAAGGAAGAGAAAAGCUUAUUCUAUACCUAUGUGCACACUCAAAAACAACAAAACGGAAUCCAAUCAGCUGGUUAAUCCUCCUUUAACUUUCUUUUUUGUUCUUUCUUCUGCUUCUUUAAUCAUAUAUGGCGAGUUGCCAUUGUAUAAUUACACUCUGACUACAUACUUAUAUAGUAGGUUCUGUACAAUGAUGAAUCAAAAGGCCAAAAACUGGAUCGGAACAUCCGAAACCAAAUCAGGACAAACAAAAGAAUGACACGCAUUAACAAACACACUACUAUCAAAUGUGAGUAUUAGGGUUGUACUCUUCUAGUAAAAAAAAAAAAAAAA